CCCGAAUAAUAAAUGUUCGAAAGAAGAGUUAAUAUAUGUAUUAAGGUUAUCGCCUAUAGCUAGCUUAGUUAGUCUAUCUUCAACUCUCCUCUUAAACGUACUCCAGGUGGUGCAUGGCUGUCGUCAAUUCGUGUUUUGAUAUGUCUGGUUAGGUCCUCGAACGAAUGCAACCCCUUAAUCUAGUUUAUAUGCUAAUCGCUGUCUAGAUUUACUACCAGUUUGGUACUGGCUGAAGGUUGGGAUCAUGUCAAGUCGUUAUGCCCUUUUAUAGACUGGGCUAUUCAUAUGAUACAAUGGCUCUUACAAUGAGUCGCUAAUACUUAUCUAUUAGCAAAACUAAAAAAUUGCCUCAGUUCGGAUUGUAAACUGAAACUUGUUUACAUGAAGGUGGAAUAGCUAGUAAUCACUUAUCAUCAUGGAGUGGUGAAUUUUUUUCGAUUCAAGUACAGACC
rnacentral:rRNA from 1 species